ACUUCAGGGGCCAUUUGCAUGUUAACGCCUUUUCGUUUCUUGAAUCAACAAGUGGAAAGCGGAUUGCAACUCCUGAGUUUAGGAGACGCACCGCCACCCAGCUUCAAGAGCAGCAGUUUGCUGCAGUCACGUGGCACCGAGUUUCAAUCCCAUUCUCCAGUGAUUCUGUCUUUUCCGCGAGCAUCUGAAGGGCUGGGGCUCAUUUUUAAGUACCUCGUCCUACCCGGAGCUGCUGCUGCCCGCAGAGGGUGGCCCGGGCCCCCACCCAGUCGUGGGAAAGCCAAAGACUCGAGAGGUGCCCCGCUUGAGGGGCGCGGAGCGGCUGUUCCGGGGACCGGCGGUCGCAGGGCAGGUCUGCCCACUGCUCGGGCCGGGGGCGCACGGCGUGGCCACCAGAUGAAACACGCCUGAAACUAUCUUCUCAGCCCCGUCGUGUGACAGUCGGCACCCCAGUGCCCUCAGAAGGCUGAUGUUCGUCCCACAUGCCCGACUCACCGCCGGCAAACGGCUUUGCCUGAGGAAAUCCUGAUACCAAGGUCCCCGUGAGAUGUGAGAACGAGAAGUGGCACCACAUUGGCUGGGCUGCCCGGCUAGCUCGUGGCCCUGGAUAAAGUCAACCUGCAGGGUAAGGAGCCAGUGUUCCUCGUGAUUGACGGGCUCAAGAUGCGGCUGCUGAAAAAUCUGUGAAACACGGACCAAGUGUGCCCAUUGACUGUGGCGCCCUUUGCAGCCAGCAAAGCAGCUAAUCGUUGGGAAGAUGUCCAAAAAGUGGUAGUUAUGGAAACCUCGAUAGUAGACCUACAGAGGGAUUUCUGCAGAGGAUUUUGUAGUAAUGGGCAGCCUCCAAGGAGGAACCCUCACAAUGUGCACCUCCUAACAGUCACAGCCCUUGUGUCUGCCCUCCUGAGAGUGUACAGGGAGACUGUCUUCUUUCUAAGCAGGAGCACGUGGCCAGAGGGACGGGAUGUCACUUCCAAGACGGUGUUGCCUAUGACUGUAACUUCCAUCUUCCUAGCCUUGCUGCCUGUACUGGAAACCAGCUGUUAUUUUGUGAGCUGUUAAUGGAGACGUGGCCAGGCAGGAAGGCGUGGAGGUGACCACCAGCCCACACACACCCAGGGAGAAACAGGAGCCCUCCAUUUCUGCCGUUGAGCACACGAGUGUGGAAGCAGACCCUCCUGCAGACUCACAGGAGACCUGAGCCCUGGAUGAGAUGUUUGCAGCCUGAAGCAGGGGACUAGGUCACAUUGUGCAACUUGCCCGGCUCCCAGGGUCAUUGAGAUGAUAAAUGUGUGUUGCUUAAGCCUCUGACUUUGGGGUUAAUUUGUUACGCAGUGAGAGACGACUGAUACAAAGUAGAGGCGCUCGGUGUACAGAUGCAGGCUUCUGAACUCAACUUUUGUUAUUCUGCAUCAAAAGAGGAAUGUGAUUGUGGCAUAUUUUGAGGCCUCUGCCCCCUCCUAGUACGUUGUGUGGCUCUAGAGAGUUCCCUGGUGUAUCAUCUGCUGGAGCAAAUCUUCCCCAAGGAACAAAGCAUUUUAUUCCUGUGGGGUCUGUGGUGUGUGUGGUGCUGGCCCACCUCACCAGCUUUUCAGGGAGCGUCCCAUAUGCCAAAGCCGAAGGCAGGCACGUGGAUCAAUUGCACCUCCAAUUUAAAAGGACCCCAACGUGAAUCCCGUGAAAUGGUCUCCCCUUGGAUUUUGGUACUCUGUUUACCAAGAGACGCAGAGAUAUAGGUGUCAGUCCUGACCCAGCCUGUGACAACUGGGGACAGUUGUACCUGUGGCACAGUCUGUGCCGGUCCCUCUCACUUCCACGGCCAGGAAGACACAGAUGUCUCGUGAGCAGGAAAAUUGAAUUUGGCAUCUCAUUAACACUCACAGACAUUACACCCUCCAACGCCUAUCAAAAGCACAGGAGAGGCGCCUCAUUCUGCACGACACACAUAGGCUGGACCACGGCAGCC